rnacentral:rRNA from 1 species
UACGUAGAAUGCAAGCGUUGUCCGGAAUUAUUGGGCGUAAAGAGCUCGUAGGUGGUUUGUCGCGUUGUUCGUGAAAACUCACAGCUCAACUGUGGGCGUGCGGGCGAUACGGGCAGACUAGAGUACUGCAGGGGAGACUGGAAUUCCUGGUGUAGCGGUGGAAUGCGCAGAUAUCAGGAGGAACACCGGUGGCGAAGGCGGGUCUCUGGGCAGUAACUGACGCUGAGGAGCGAAAGCGUGGGGAGCGAACAGG